rnacentral:rRNA from 1 species
GACGAACGCUGGCGGCGUGCCUAAUACAUGCAAGUCGAGCGAGCGGAACCAACAGAUUUACUUCGGUAAUGACGUUGGGAAAGCGAGCGGCGGAUGGGUGAGUAACACGUGGGGAACCUGCCCCUAAGUCUGGGAUACCAUUUGGAAACAGGUGCUAAUACCGGAUAAUAAAGCAGAUCGCAUGAUCAGCUUUUGAAAGGCGGCGUAAGCUGUCGCUAAGGGAUGGCCCCGCGGUGCAUUAGCUAGUUGGUAAGGUAACGGCUUACCAAGGCGACGAUGCAUAGCCGAGUUGAGAGACUGAUCGGCCACAUUGGGACUGAGACACGGCCCAAACUCCUACGGGAGGCAGCAGUAGGGAAUCUUCCACAAUGGACGCAAGUCUGAUGGAGCAACGCCGCGUGAGUGAAGAAGGUUUUCGGAUCGUAAAGCUCUGUUGUUGGUGAAGAAGGAUAGAGGUAGUAACUGGCCUUUAUUUGACGGUAAUCAACCAGAAAGUCACGGCUAACUACGUGCCAGCAGCCGCGGUAAUACGUAGGUGGCAAGCGUUGUCCGGAUUUAUUGGGCGUAAAGCGAGCGCAGGCGGAAAAAUAAGUCUAAUGUGAAAGCCCUCGGCUUAACCGAGGAACUGCAUCGGAAACUGUUUU